UACGUAGGGGGCUAGCGUUGUCCGGAUUUAUUGGGCGUAAAGAGCGUGUAGGCGGCCAGGUAGGUCUGCUGUGAAAACUCGAGGCUUAACCUCGAGAUGUCGGCGGAAACCAUCUGGCUAGAGUCCGGAAGAGGAGAGUGGGAAUUCCUGGUGUAGCGGUGAAAUGCGCAGAUAUCAGGAAGAACACCCGUGGCGAAGGCGGCUCUCUGGGACGGUACUGACGCUGAGACGCGAAAGCGUGGGGAGCGAACAGG
rnacentral:rRNA from 1 species